CCUACGGGUGGCAGCAGUGAGGAAUAUUGGUCAAUGGACGAGAGUCUGAACCAGCCAAGUAGCGUGAAGGAUGAAGGAUCUAUGGUUUGUAAACUUCUUUUAUAUGGGAAUAAAGUGAGGAACGUGUUCCUUUUUGUAUGUACCAUAUGAAUAAGCAUCGGCUAACUCCGUGCCAGCAGCCGCGGUAAUACGGAGGAUGCGAGCGUUAUCCGGAUUUAUUGGGUUUAAAGGGUGCGUAGGUGGAUAAUUAAGUCAGCGGUGAAAGUUUGUGGCUCAACCGUAAAAUUGCCGUUGAAACUGGUUGACUUGAGUAUAGUAGAGGUAGGCGGAAUGCGUGGUGUAGCGGUGAAAUGCAUAGAUAUCACGCAGAACUCCGAUUGCGAAGGCAGCUUACUGGACUAUAACUGACACUGAGGCACGAAAGCGUGGGGAUCAAACAGGAUUAGAUACCCCAGUAGUC
rnacentral:rRNA from 1 species